AUGGAGUUGGGAAGGUGGCUCAUACAUGCUUGUACAAUAUCAAUUGUGCUUCUUCUGCGUAUCAACGCUUCCUUAUCCCUCGGUCACCACCAUGCUAACAUGACGGCGAGAUGCAUUGAGAGGGAGAGGGAUGCACUUCUUGCUAUCAAAGGAGACUUGGUGGAUGAAUACAACCUGCUCUCUUCGUGGGGAAGGGAAGACUGUUGCGGAUGGGAGAGAGUCCAUUGUGAUCCCCACACUGGCCAUGUUAUUCAACUUCAUCUUGGAGGAGUGUUGGAGGUGUCGCGACGUGGACUUGAUCGACUGGAGAUGUACAAUGCAAGGUCAGGAUAUAUGUACUUUCCGGGGUUGUUUUAUCUGCAAGGUCAGGAUAUAUUGAAAAACUUCGGAGGUCAGGUUAGUCCUAAAAUCAUUGAGUUGCAGUAUUUGGAAUAUUUGGACCUCAGUCUCAAUUUUUUCAAUGCCACCCAAAUUCCAACACUCAUUUGUUCUCUGUCCAACUUAAGACACCUAGAUCUCCAUUCCAAUCACCUCACCGGGAGCAAAAUUCCAAAACUCAUUGGUAAUCUGACCAAUUUAAGGUAUCUAGAUCUCUCUUAUAUUGGCUUCAGUGGUGAAAUUCCAACAACAAUGUGUUCUCUGUCUAAUUUAAGACACCUAGAUCUCUAUGAUAAUGACCUAAACGGGAGCAAUAUUCUAGAGCUCAUUGGUAAUCUAACCAAUUUAAGAUAUCUAGAUCUCUCUGAGAAUUCCUUGGGUGAUGAAACUCCAGUUCCAUAUCAUCAACUUGGAAACCUUACUCACUUGCAAUAUCUCAAUCUCGGGUAUACUUACCACACUCAUGUUGUAGAAAACCUCAAUUGGCUCCCACGUCUUUCUUCUUUGAAAUACCUAGACUUGAGUUGGACCAAUCUGAGUAAGGUGUCUGAUUGGCUGGACACAGUAAACAAGCUCCCCAAUCUAAAAAACUUGACACUGUAUGAAUGUGAUCUUCCUCCUCCAAUUCUUUCUACUCUUUCUCACAUCAAUUCUUCCAAUUCUCUUGUUCAUGUUGAUUUGUCUGGUAAUGUUAUCACUUCUUCGAUAUUCAAAUGGUUAUGCAACUACAACACCACCCUUGCAUAUCUUGACCUUUCAUUCACUCAAUUAAGUGGUUUGAUUCCUGAUGUUUUCAUAAACAUGAGAUCACUGAAAAGUCUUUACCUCAUUGUCAACCAGUUAAGUGUUUCGAUUACCUCUCAUGUUUUCAAAACCAUGAGCUCACUUGAACAUCUAUCACUCUCUUACAACCAAUUAAGUGUUUUGAAUCCCAAUGCUUUCACAAACAUGAGCUCACUUGCAUUUCUUGACCUCUCUUCCAACCGAUUAAGUGGUUUGAAUCCCAAUGCUUUCUCAAACAUGAGCUCACUUGCAUAUCUUGACCUCUCUUCGAACCGAUUAAGUGGUUUGAAUCCCAAUGCUUUCUCAAACAUGAGCUCACUUGCAUAUCUUGACCUCUCUUCCAACCGAUUAAGUGGUUUGAAUCCCAAUGUUUUCGCAAACAUGAGCUCACUUGCAUAUCUUGACCUCUCUUCCAACCGAUUAAGCGGUUUGAAUUCCAAUGCUUUCGCAAACAUGAGCUCACUUGCAUAUCUUUCCCUCUCUGAUAACUCACUUGAAGGAGAGAUCCCAACAUCCAUUGCCCAGUUAUGCAGUUUGCAACAUCUAUUCAUGUCAGGUUGUAAUCUGACUGGACAACUUUCUGAGUUCGUUCAAAGAUGGUCCGCAUGUCCUCAAAACCCAAUCCGGUCUUUAUAUCUUUCUAAUAAUGAUCUUGUUGGGUCAUUUCCUGAUUUUACAAACUUUUCAUCAUUGGAGAGCUUAGAUCUCUCUGGAAAUAAGUUGAGCGGAAUGGUUCCGGAUAGUAUUGGAAAGUUGUCUUCUUUGACAUACUUAUCUGUCGAUGAAAACCAAUUAAGAUGGACCAUACCUGAAAGUAUUGGGGAACUAUCCCGUUUAUAUUACUUGAGUCUCUCAGGAAAUCUUCUAAGCGGAAGAAUUCCAGAAAGUAUUGGGAAACUCUCAUCAUUGGCCCAUUUAGAUCUUUCUCAAUUAAGCGAAAGAAUACCAGAUAGUGUUGGGCAAUUGUCGGAAGAAUACCAGAACAAAUUGGGAAAAUAUCAUCGAGAGAUUUCAGAAAUUCAUGUCUCAAAACUCUCCGUUUUAGGUUCCUUGGAUUUAUCCUAUAACUCAAGACUAGAAUUCAAUGUCACUUCUGAUUGGAUUCCUCCUUUUAAUUUGUCUCAUCUGAGUUUGAGGUUUUGUAAGGUGGGGCCAAAUUUCCCAAAAUGGCUCCAAACCCAAAAAGGUCUUUUUGACAUCGACAUGUCUUAUACUGACAUUUUAGAUGUCCUUCCAAGUUGGUUCUGGGGUGUCUUUGGUGACACUCGAACUAUAGAUUUCUCUAACAAUCAAAUCAGAGGAGCAUUAGGGAGUUCAAAGAUUGUAUCAUUUAGUGGAUUUGAAGUUCGAAUUAGUUCAAACCGAUUGGACGGUCUAGUACCCUCAUUUCUAUCAAAUGCUUCAUAUUUGGAUCUCUGAUAAUAAGUUUUCAGAAAUGACGUCUUUCUUGUGCUCUUCAAAUGUUAAAGUCUCAAAAUUUUUUGAUCUGUCCAAAAACCAUAUUGCUGGAGAAGUUCCUGAUUGUUGGAGACAAUGGGCCAAUCUACAACUUCUCGAUUUGAGUUUCAAUGCUUUUUCUGGGAAAAUCCCACCUAGUAUUGGCUAUAUACCUGGAAUCAAAACAUUGAAAUUAAGGAGCAACAAACUUGUGGGAGCGUUGCCUUCAUCCUUGAAGAAUUGUACGAGCUUAAAUGUUAUUGAUCUUGGGAACAAUCAGCUUUCAAAUUCAGUGCCUGAUUGGAUAGGGGCUAGUCUUCCCGAUUUGGUUAUUCUUAUGCUUCAGUUUAAUCAGCUUAGUGGAAGUUUGCCUUCACAGUUAUGUCACCUACCACGUCUUCAAAUAUUGGAUGUUUCUGUGAAUGAAAUCUCGGGAACUAUACCAAAAUGCCUCAACAAUUUGACUUCUUUGGCACAAGAAGGAAAUUCAAAUCUAACCAUCAGACAUUCUUUUAAUAUAUCAGAGGCCGAACCACCUAUGACUUCUCUUUAUUAUGAAGAUGACGCAACAUUCAUGUGGAAAGGAACAUUGGCUUCAUACAAAAGCACUUUGGGACUUGUCAAGAGAAUUGAUCUCUCAAGCAACAGAUUAACUGGGGAGAUUCCAAGUGAAAUCACUUACCUUGUUGGAUUGGUUUCUCUGAACCUGUCAAGGAACAGUUUAAGUGGACAAAUCCCUCUAGAUAUCGGAAAGUUAAAGUCGUUAGAUUCACUUGACUUGUCAGGAAACAAGAUACAUGGUGGAAUCCCGAUAAGCCUUGCUCAUAUAGAUAGACUUGGCGCCUUGGAUUUGUCAUAUAACAACUUGUCUGGUGAAAUUCCAACUGGCACUCAGCUUCAGGGCUUUAAUGCCUCAUCUUAUAUUGGAAAUCCUUGGUUGUGCGGACUUCCACUUCAUGUUUGUGAUCCAAAGGGGACAAGUCGACCUAAUGUCUCGAGUGGUGAAGAUGAUGCAGAUGAGCUCAUCACGCAAGGAUUUUACAUAAGUCUGGGACUUGGAUUUGCUGUUGGAUUCUGGGGAGUCUGUGGGAGCUUGAUAUUUAAGAGGUCGUGGAGAUAUGGAUACUACAACUUCUUGAAUGCUUCAAAUGAUUGGCUUUACGUGAAGGUUUUGCCUCCGUCAGUUGUCAACGUCAGAGAUGAGAGAUCAGAUGUUGUCGACAUCGGAGAGGAGAGAUCAGAGGUCGUCGAUGUCGGAGAGGAGAGAUCGGAGGUCGUCGAUGGCUUGGAUGAAGUCCUAGUAGAGCGCGGCAGACCUCCUCGAUUUCAAACUCUUUGGAGUGGGAGAAGAGGCGGAGGUGGAGGAGGAGGGUCUUGGGUUUGCCGAGGCGAAGGCUUUGCAGAUCUGCCUUUGGAGAUGGUGAAGGAGUUGGCAGAGUUUGGAGAUGGCAGAGGAGUUGGUCGAGUUUCUCGACCGAUCGAGAGUCGCCGUUAUCGGCGUUCGCCGCCGGGGUCAGAGAGACCGAUGAGAUGUCCUUACGCGGCGAUGAUGAAUCUUACCCGAAGACCACAACGUUCUCUGUGA